GAGUUUUGAACAGGCUCAGGACGAACGCUGGCGGCGUGCCUAAUACAUGCAAGUCGAGCGGACAGAUGGGAGCUUGCUCCCUGAUGUUAGCGGCGGACGGGUGAGUAACACGUGGGUAACCUGCCUGUAAGACUGGGAUAACUCCGGGAAACCGGGGCUAAUACCGGAUGCUUGUUUGAACCGCAUGGUUCAAACAUAAAAGGUGGCUUCGGCUACCACUUACAGAUGGACCCGCGGCGCAUUAGCUAGUUGGUGAGGUAACGGCUCACCAAGGCAACGAUGCGUAGCCGACCUGAGAGGGUGAUCGGCCACACUGGGACUGAGACACGGCCCAGACUCCUACGGGAGGCAGCAGUAGGGAAUCUUCCGCAAUGGACGAAAGUCUGACGGAGCAACGCCGCGUGAGUGAUGAAGGUUUUCGGAUCGUAAAGCUCUGUUGUUAGGGAAGAACAAGUACCGUUCGAAUAGGGCGGUACCUUGACGGUACCUAACCAGAAAGCCACGGCUAACUACGUGCCAGCAGCCGCGGUAAUACGUAGGUGGCAAGCGUUGUCCGGAAUUAUUGGGCGUAAAGGGCUCGCAGGCGGUUUCUUAAGUCUGAUGUGAAAGCCCCCGGCUCAACCGGGGAGGGUCAUUGGAAACUGGGGAACUUGAGUGCAGAAGAGGAGAGUGGAAUUCCACGUGUAGCGGUGAAAUGCGUAGAGAUGUGGAGGAACACCAGUGGCGAAGGCGACUCUCUGGUCUGUAACUGACGCUGAGGAGCGAAAGCGUGGGGAGCGAACAGGAUUAGAUACCCUGGUAGUCCACGCCGUAAACGAUGAGUGCUAAGUGUUAGGGGGUUUCCGCCCCUUAGUGCUGCAGCUAACGCAUUAAGCACUCCGCCUGGGGAGUACGGUCGCAAGACUGAAACUCAAAGGAAUUGACGGGGGCCCGCACAAGCGGUGGAGCAUGUGGUUUAAUUCGAAGCAACGCGAAGAACCUUACCAGGUCUUGACAUCCUCUGACAAUCCUAGAGAUAGGACGUCCCCUUCGGGGGCAGAGUGACAGGUGGUGCAUGGUUGUCGUCAGCUCGUGUCGUGAGAUGUUGGGUUAAGUCCCGCAACGAGCGCAACCCUUGAUCUUAGUUGCCAGCAUUCAGUUGGGCACUCUAAGGUGACUGCCGGUGACAAACCGGAGGAAGGUGGGGAUGACGUCAAAUCAUCAUGCCCCUUAUGACCUGGGCUACACACGUGCUACAAUGGACAGAACAAAGGGCAGCGAAACCGCGAGGUUAAGCCAAUCCCACAAAUCUGUUCUCAGUUCGGAUCGCAGUCUGCAACUCGACUGCGUGAAGCUGGAAUCGCUAGUAAUCGCGGAUCAGCAUGCCGCGGUUGAAUACGUUCCCGGGCCUUGUACACACCGCCCGUCACACCACGAGAGUUUGUAACACCCGAAGUCGGUGAGGUAACCUUUUAGGAGCCAGCCGCCGAAGGUGGGACAGAUGAUUGGGGUG
rnacentral:rRNA from 1 species